rnacentral:rRNA from 1 species
AUGGAGGGUCUUCUACAUUGGGAUUUCUCCCCUGGCCAAGCGGUGGAGACACAGGUGCGCAAAAGAUUUGGUACUACUCUUCAUUUCUCCCCCAUUGGAGAUGCAAAGGAGUUCUUCCUAGUGGUGGCUUUCUCCUCUGCCUCCUUCCCCCUUUCAGUUGAUUCGGUGGGUGUAGCUCUACAAUGUUGCAUUGGU